rnacentral:rRNA from 1 species
GCUUACAGCCAUACAACCUGAAUACCGAAUACGCCUGAUCUCGAAAGCUAAGCAGGGUUGGGUCUGGUUAGUAUUUAGACGGGAGACAGAGCUCUGAAAAAAAAACUAGUAAACU